rnacentral:rRNA from 1 species
GGGAAGUGCGAACGUAGAGGGUGAUAUUCCCGUACACGAAAGGGCACACAUAAUGAUGACGAGUAGGGCGAGGCACGUGAAACCUUGUCUGAAUAUGGGGGGACCAUCCUCCAAGGCUAAAUACUCCUGACUGACCGAUAGUGAACCAGUACCGUGAGGGAAAGGCGAAAAGAACCCCUGUGAGGGGAGUGAAAUAGAUCCUGAAACCGCAUGCAUACAAGCAGUGGGAGCACCUUCGUGGUGUGACUGCGUACCUUUUGUAUAAUGGGUCAGCGACUUAUAUUCAGUAGCGAGGUUAACCGUAUAGGGGAGCCGUAGAGAAAUCGAGUCUUAAUAGGGCGUUUAGUUGCUGGGUAUAGACCCGAAACCAGGCGAUCUAUCCAUGAGCAGGUUGAAGGUUGGGUAACACUAACUGGAGGACCGAACCCACUGUCGUUGAAAAGCCAGGGGAUGACUUGUGGAUAGGGGUGAAAGGCUAAUCAAGCCUGGUGAUAGCUGGUUCUCCCCGAAAGCUAUUUAGGUAGCGCCUCGGACGAAUACCAUAGGGGGUAGAGCACUGUUUCGGCUAGGGGGUCAUCCCGACUUACCAAACCGAUGCAAACUCCGAAUACCUAUGAGUACUAUCCGGGAGACAGACUGCGGGUGCUAACGUCCGUAGUCAAGAGGAAAACAAUCCAGACCGCCAGCUAAGGCCCCAAAAUCAUAGUUAAGUGGGAAACGAUGUGGGAAGGCAUAGACAGCUAGGAGGUUGGCUUAGAAGCAGCCACCCUUUAAAGAAAGCGUAAUAGCUCACUAGUCGAGUCGGCCUGCGCGGAAGAUGUAACGGGGCUAAAACUAUGUGCCGAAGCUGCGGAUGUAUACUUUGUAUACGUGGUAGGGGAGCGUUCUGUAAGCCGAUGAAGGUGUGUUGAGAAGCAUGCUGGAGGUAUCAGAAGUGCGAAUGCUGACGUGAGUAACGACAAAACGGGUGAAAAACCCGUUCGCCGAAAGACCAAGGGUUCCAGUCCAACGUUAAUCGGGGCUGGGUGAGUCGACCCCUAAGGCGAGGCCGAAAGGCGUAGUCGAUGGGAAAAUGGUUAAUAUUCCAUUACUUCUGUGUAAUGCGAUGAGAGGACGGAGAAGGCUAAAUCAGCCUGGCGUUGGUUGUCCAGGUGAAAGGAUGUAGGCAUGUAUCUUAGGCAAAUCCGGGGUACUCUAUGCUGAGAUCUGAUAGCAAGCUGUACUUGUACAGCGAAGUGGUUGAUGCCAUGCUUCCAGGAAAAGUCUCUAAGCUUCAGUUACACAGGAAUCGUACCCGAAACCGACACAGGUGGUCAGGUCGAGUAGACCAAGGCGCUUGAGAGAACUCUGCUGAAGGAA